CUGCUCGGCGAGAGCAGCCGCGUCAUCAAUCCGUGCAGCCCCGACGCCUCCGCGUCUCGCUUCGUCGGGUCUGCACAGCCUCUUCGCGCCAUGCGGACAGCAGCAACAACUAAGUUAUUUUUGGAUCGAGAGAUGGUGAUCGUGCACGUGAUAUGGUGCCAACCACAAGAUGCCGUUGGUGGACGACCCAAGGAAGGAUGGACUUAA
rnacentral:misc_RNA from 1 species